rnacentral:miRNA from 1 species
GCAGCCUGGGCCGGGCUGGGCUCGGCUGGGCUGCUGUCCACAGAAUCUCUAGAGCCCUGUCCCU